rnacentral:rRNA from 1 species
GGUGUCAGCGGAAGGGACAUUACCGAGUUUACAACUCCCAAACCCCUGUGAACAUACCUAUAAUUUGCCUCGGCAGACUCAACGACGGUGCUCCGAGAAAUCGGGCGCCGCUCGCUGCCAGAGGAACCCCAAACUCUAUGUAUUCUUGUGGAUCUUCUGAGUAAAACAAAACAAAUAAAUCAAAACUUUCAACAACGGAUCUCUUGGUUCUGGCAUCGAUGAAGAACGCAGCGAAAUGCGAUAAGUAAUGUGAAUUGCAGAAUUCAGUGAAUCAUCGAAUCUUUGAACGCACAUUGCGCCCGCCAGUAUUCUGGCGGGCAUGCCUGUUCGAGCGUCAUUUCAACCCUCAAGCCCUAGGGCUUGGUGUUGGGGAUCGGCGAUAGUCGCCGUCCCCCAAAUCUAGUGGCGGUCUCGCUGUAGCCUCCAUUGCGUAGUAGCUAACACCUCGCAACUGGAACGCGGCGCGGCCAAGCCGUUAAACCCCCAACUUCUGAAUGUUGACCUCGGAUCAGGUAGGAAUACCCGCUGAACUUAAGCAUAUCAAUAAGCGGAGGAACU